rnacentral:rRNA from 1 species
UACGUAGGUGGCAAGCGUUGUCCGGAUUUACUGGGCGUAAAGAAUGCGUAGGCGGAUAUUUAAGUGAGAUGUGAAAUUCCCGGGCUUAACUUGGGAGCUGCAUUUCAAACUGGAUAUCUAGAGUGCGGGAGGAGGUAAGUGGAAUUCCUAGUGUAGCGGUGAAAUGCGUAGAGAUUAGGAAGAACACCAGUGGCGAAGGCGACUACUGGACCGUAACUGACGCUGAGGCAUGAAAGCGUGGGGAGCAAACAGG